AUUGAACGCUGGCGGCAGGCCUAACACAUGCAAGUCGGGCGCGCGGCGGACGGGUGAGUAAUGUAUGGGGAUCUGCCUGAUGGAGGGGGAUAACUACUGGAAACGGUAGCUAAUACCGCAUACCAUCAGCUGAACCCAUAUGGGAUUAGCUUGUCGGUGAGGUAACGGCUCACCUAGGCGACGAUCCCUAGGUGGUCUGAGAGGAUGAUCAGACACACUCGUACUGAGACACUGCCCAGACUCCGACGUGAGUCAGCAGUGGGGAAUAUUGCACAAUGGGCGCAAGCCUGAUGCAGCCAUGCCGCGUGUAUGAAGAAGGCCUUCGGGUUGUAAAGUACUUGCAGUCGGGAGGCGUUACCGACAGAAGAAGCACCGGCUAACUCCGUGCCAGCCGCCGCGGUAAUUC
rnacentral:rRNA from 1 species